GUGAAUCAUCGAAUUUUUGAACGCAAAUUGCACUUUCUGGUAUUCCGGAAAGUAUGCCUGUUUUAGGGUCAUUUAAAUAAAAAUCGGUUUUUUUGCUGCUUUUCGUUGUGACGCGUCGGAGUUUAGUUUUCUUACCUUCUGUUAAGGGACUUAAAAUUUUGCAUGAUUUUCGAACAGAUUUAAUUUUCUUACAUACGUUUUAGAUAUCGAAUACUUUAUUAGUUGCGGUCAUCCUCAUUAUUCGCACCUCUAAUUUUUCGGUAAAUGACCUCAAAUCAUUUAAG
rnacentral:misc_RNA from 1 species